CAGUCACUGGAGAAGUCUCUGAUUCCAGCCAGGAACCAGGUCCCCUCUUCCCGGCAAAGAAGGCUCCAGUGAGAAUAGUUCUGCAGCGCGAAAACGUGUGUGCAAUUUGAUGAGGAGGGAGCCACAGCAGUGAAGACUCCGGGGCGGUUCCUCCGUCCACAGCCAAAGCCAAAGCUGGUGAUCCCCGCCUGGAACCAUCGGCCACCUUCCUCACAAACCAGGGGCCCCCCAGAGUCUCCCUGAUGACAGAUGACUCUGUAUCAGGGGAUCAGUCCAGGGACCCACCACCUUGUACUGGAUCACCUGGCAGAGGGUCUACACCUCUUUUUUUUGGAUGCACCCAGGCCAGGGAUCAAACCCCCAACACAGCAGCGACUCAAGACACAGCAGUUACAAUGCCAGAUCCUUGACACGCUCAGCCAAAAAAGAACUCCUUUACACCACCUCUUCUUGUUGGCCCUACUUACAGCCACUUUUUAGAAACCUGCAUUGGCUGUGCCAUGUCCUCCAUAAUUCCUACAACUCUAAGGUCUGGUAAAGCAGAAAAACUGAUGAGCAGCCAAAGCCAAGAGCACCAAGCUAAUGCAUUAAAGGCCAUGCCAGAGAGGCCUGCAGGUCUCAUUCAGACCCAGAUGAUUCUUGUCAAUAAAUAGUUCGAACAAA